rnacentral:rRNA from 1 species
GACGAACGCUGGCGGCGUGCUUAACACAUGCAAGUCGAACGGUGAAACGCCUUCCUUUUUGGUGGGUGUGGAUGAGUGGCGAACGGGUGAGUAACACGUGAGUAACCUGCCCCCUUCUUCUGGAUAACCGCAUGAAAGUGUGGCUAAUACGGGAUAUUCUGGGUCUGUCGCAUGAUGGGCCUGGGACAGAUAUUGUUUCGGUGGGGGAUGGGCCCGCGGCCUAUCAGCUUGUUGGUGGGGUGAUGGCCUACCAAGGCGGUGACGGGUAGCCGGCCUGAGAGGGUGGGCGGCCACACAACGGAGGAGACACCGACCAUCCUCCUGCGGGAGGCAGCAGUGAAUAUUACUGCAUAAUCGGAGGAAGGCUGAAGCAACGCCGCGUGGGGGAUGAUGGUGUUCUUCUGGUUAGACACUGUUUUUAGGAGAGAAGAAAGGUUUACUUGAUUGUGGGUGGGUUGACGGUACCUGGAUAAGAAGCGCCGGCUAACUACGUG